rnacentral:rRNA from 1 species
AUUGAACGCUGGCGGCAGGCUCAACACAUGCAAGUCGAGCGGGCGAGGUUGCUUCGGUAACUGAGCUAGCGGCGGACGGGUGAGUAAUGCUUAGGAAUCUGCCUAUUAGUGGGGGACAACAUUCCGAAAGGAAUGCUAAUACCGCAUACGCCCUACGGGGGAAAGCAGGGGAUCUUCGGACCUUGCGCUAAUAGAUGAGCCUAAGUCAGAUUAGCUAGUUGGUGGGGUAAAGGCCUACCAAGGCGACGAUCUGUAGCGGGUCUGAGAGGAUGAUCCGCCACACUGGGACUGAGACACGGCCCAGACUCCUACGGGAGGCAGCAGUGGGGAAUAUUGGACAAUGGGCGAAAGCCUGAUCCAGCCAUGCCGCGUGUGUGAAGAAGGCCUUUUGGUUGUAAAGCACUUUAAGCGAGGAGGAGGCUACUUGGAUUAAUACUCUAGGAUAGUGGACGUUACUCGCAGAAUAAGCACCGGCUAACUCUGUGCCAGCAGCCGCCGUAAUAC